AAGCAGAGACAGGACACCUGACCCAAACUGACCAAAGAGGUGGAAUACUUUGAGAAGUGAGAGCCUGCAAAAGUCUCUGCAAGAAAAAAAUACAGAAGGGAGAUCUAAGGCCCCGUUUAGGUACUGAAGGCUGCCCUAAGGUCUCCCAGAAGCCUUCUCUUCUCCAGAUUGAACAACCCCAACUCUCCAGACUGUCCUUACAGGAGAGGUGCUUGAGCCGUCAGGGCAUUUCUGUGAUCCUCCUAUGGACCCUCU